rnacentral:rRNA from 1 species
GCGCGAAACCUUUGCAAUGCACGUAAGUGUGACAGGGGAAUCCAGAGUGCUUAUACAAAGUAUAGGCUUUUGCCAAGAGUAAAUAUCUUGGAGAAUAAGUGGUGGGAAAGACUGGUGCCAGCCGCCGCGGUAACCCCAGCGCCACUAGUGGGAAUCGCGUUUAUUUGGCCUAAAGCAUCCGUAGCUGGUUCUGUAAAUCUCUUGUGAAAUUGUUAGGCUCAACCUAACAGCGUGCAGGAGACACUGCAAAACUAGGGACUGGGAGGAGUCAGAGGUAUGCUGUGGGGAGCGGUAAAAUGCUAUAAUCCACGGUAGACCACCUGUGGCGAAGGCGUCUGACUAGAACAGGUCCGACAGUGAGGGAUGAAAGCCAGGGGAGCAAACCGG